UGUAUUCGAGUGUAUUCGACUGUAUUUACGGUGUGAAAUAGGGGAUUACACUGUUUUUAAAAUGAAAAGUGAAUCAAUUAACAUAAUAGACUCCU
rnacentral:pre_miRNA from 1 species